AGUUCGAUUAUGGCUCAGAUUGAACGCUAUGAUGUUUACACAUGCAAGUCGAACGGCAGCACGGACUUCUGGUCUGGUGGCGAGUGGCGAACGGGUGAGUAAUGUAUCGGAACGUGCCUAGUAGCGGGGGAUAACUACGCGAAAGCGUAGCUAAUAUCGCAUACGCCCUUCGGCGGGGACCUUCGGGCCUCGCACUAUUAGAGCGGCCGAUAUCGGAUUAGCUAGUUGGUGGGGUAACGGCUCACCAAGGCGACGAUCCGUAGCUGGUUUGAGAGGACGACCAGCCACACUGGGACUGAGACACGGCCGUAUUCCUACGGGAGGCAGCAGUGGGGAAUUUUGGGACAAUGGGGAAAACCCUGAUCCAGCCAUCCCGCGUGUGCGAUGAAGGCCUUCGGGUUGUAAAGCACUUUUGGCAGGAAAGAAAACGGCACGGGAUAAUACCCCGUGCAACUGACGGUACCUGCAGAAUAAGCACCGGUUAACUACGUGCCAGCAGCCGCGGUAAUACGUAGGGUGCAAGCGUUAAUCGGAAUUACUGGGCGUAAAGCGUGCGCAGGUUCGGAAAGAAAGAUGUGAAAUCCCAGAGCUAACUUUGGAACUGCAUUUUUAACUACCGAGCUAGAGUGUCAGAGGGAGGUGGAAUUCCGCGUAGCAGUGAAAUGCGUAGAUAUGCGGAGGAACACCGGAUGGCGAAGGCAGCCUCCUGGGAUAACACUGACGCUCAUGCACGAAAGCGUGGGGAGCAAACAGGAUUAGAUACCCUGGUAGUCCACGCCCUAAACGAUGUCAACUAGCUGUUGGGGCCUUUCGCCUUAGUAGCGCAGCUAACGCGUGAAGUUGACCGCCUGGGGAGUACGGUCGCAAGAUUAAAACUCAAAGGAAUUGACGGGGACCCGCACAAGCGGUGGAUGAUGUGGAUUAAUUCGAUGCAACGCGAAAAACCUUACCUACCCUUGACAUGUCUGGAAUCCCGAAGAGAUUUGGGAGUGCUCGCAAGAGAACCGGAACACAGGUGCUGCAUGGCCAGUCGUCAGCUCGUGUCGAGAUGUUGGGUUAAGUCCCGCAACGAGCGCAACCCUUGUCAUUAGUUGCUACGAAAGGGCACUCUAAUGAGACUGCCGGUGACAAACCGGAGGAAGGUGGGGAUGACGUCAAGUCCUCAUGGCCCUUAUGGGUAGGGCUUCACACGUCAUACAAUGGUCGGGACAGAGGGUCGCCAACCCGCGAGGGGGAGCCAAUCCCAGAAACCCGAUCGUAGUCCGAUCGCAGUCUGCAACUCGACUGCGGAAGUCGGAAUCGCUAGUAAUCGCGGAUCAGCAUGUCGCGGUGAAUACGUUCCCGGGUCUUGUACACACCACCCGUCACACCAUGGGAGUGGGUUUUACCAGAAGUAGUUAGCCUAACCGUAAGGAGGGCGAUUACCACGGUAGGAUUCAUGACUGGGGUGAAGUCGUAACAAGGUA
rnacentral:rRNA from 1 species